GGGUUGUGAGGUUAAGCGACUAAGCGUACACGGUGGAUGCCCUGGCAGUCAGAGGCGAUGAAGGGCGUGCUAAUCUGCGAUAAGCGCCGGUAAGGUGAUAUGAACCGUUAUAACCGGCGAUACCCGAAUGGGGAAACCCAGUGUGAUUCGUCACACUAUCAUUAACUGAAUCCAUAGGUUAAUGAGGCGAACCGGGGGAACUGAAACAUCUAAGUACCCCGAGGAAAAGAAAUCAACCGAGAUUCCCCCAGUAGCGGCGAGCGAACGGGGAGGAGCCCAGAGCCUGAAUCAGCAUGUGUGUUAGUGGAAGCGUCUGGAAAGGCGCGCGAUACAGGGUGACAGCCCCGUACACAAAAGCGCAUGUGCUGUGAGCUCGAUGAGUAGGGCGGGACACGUGGUAUCCUGUCUGAAUAUGGGGGGACCAUCCUCCAAGGCUAAAUACUCCUGACUGACCGAUAGUGAACCAGUACCGUGAGGGAAAGGCGAAAAGAACCCCGGCGAGGGGAGUGAAAAAGAACCUGAAACCGUGUACGUACAAGCAGUGGGAGCACAGGUUUACCUGUGUGACUGCGUACCUUUUGUAUAAUGGGUCAGCGACUUAUAUUCUGUAGCAAGGUUAACCGUAUAGGGGAGCCGGAGGGAAACCGAGUCUUAACCGGGCGUUAAGUUGCAGGGUAUAGACCCGAAACCCGGUGAUCUAGCCAUGGGCAGGUUGAAGGUUGGGUAACACUAACUGGAGGACCGAACCGACUAAUGUUGAAAAAUUAGCGGAUGACCUGUGGCUGGGGGUGAAAGGCCAAUCAAACCGGGAGAUAGCUGGUUCUCCCCGAAAGCUAUUUAGGUAGCGCCUCGUGAAUUCAUCUCCGGGGGUAGAGCACUGUUUCGGCUAGGGGGCCAUCCCGGCUUACCAACCCGAUGCAAACUGCGAAUACCGGAGAAUGUUAUCACGGGAGACACACGGCGGGUGCUAACGUCCGUCGUGAAGAGGGAAACAACCCAGACCGCCAGCUAAGGUCCCAAAGUCAUGGUUAAGUGGGAAACGAUGUGGGAAGGCCCAGACAGCCAGGAUGUUGGCUUAGAAGCAGCCAUCAUUUAAAGAAAGCGUAAUAGCUCACUGGUCGAGUCGGCCUGCGCGGAAGAUGUAACGGGGCUAAACCAUGCACCGAAGCUGCGGCAGCGACGCUUAUGCGUUGUUGGGUAGGGGAGCGUUCUGUAAGCCUGUGAAGGUGUGUCUGUGAGGCAUGCUGGAGGUAUCAGAAGUGCGAAUGCUGACAUAAGUAACGAUAAAGCGGGUGAAAAGCCCGCUCGCCGGAAGACCAAGGGUUCCUGUCCAACGUUAAUCGGGGCAGGGUGAGUCGACCCCUAAGGCGAGGCCGAAAGGCGUAGUCGAUGGGAAACGGGUUAAUAUUCCCGUACUUGGUGUUACUGCGAAGGGGGGACGGAGAAGGCUAUGUUGGCCGGGCGACGGUUGUCCCGGUUUAAGCGUGUAGGCUGGUUUUCCAGGCAAAUCCGGAAAAUCAAGGCUGAGGCGUGACGACGAGGCACUACGGUGCUGAAGCAACAAAUGCCCUGCUUCCAGGAAAAGCCUCUAAGCAUCAGGUAACAUCAAAUCGUACCCCAAACCGACACAGGUGGUCAGGUAGAGAAUACCAAGGCGCUUGAGAGAACUCGGGUGAAGGAACUAGGCAAAAUGGUGCCGUAACUUCGGGAGAAGGCACGCUGACACGUAGGUGAAGUGAUUUACUCAUGGAGCUGAAGUCAGUCGAAGAUACCAGCUGGCUGCAACUGUUUAUUAAAAACACAGCACUGUGCAAACACGAAAGUGGACGUAUACGGUGUGACGCCUGCCCGGUGCCGGAAGGUUAAUUGAUGGGGUCAGCGCAAGCGAAGCUCCUGAUCGAAGCCCCGGUAAACGGCGGCCGUAACUAUAACGGUCCUAAGGUAGCGAAAUUCCUUGUCGGGUAAGUUCCGACCUGCACGAAUGGCGUAAUGAUGGCCAGGCUGUCUCCACCCGAGACUCAGUGAAAUUGAACUCGCUGUGAAGAUGCAGUGUACCCGCGGCAAGACGGAAAGACCCCGUGAACCUUUACUAUAGCUUGACACUGAACAUUGAGCCUUGAUGUGUAGGAUAGGUGGGAGGCUUUGAAGCGUGGACGCCAGUCUGCGUGGAGCCGACCUUGAAAUACCACCCUUUAAUGUUUGAUGUUCUAACGUGGACCCGUAAUCCGGGUUGCGGACAGUGUCUGGUGGGUAGUUUGACUGGGGCGGUCUCCUCCUAAAGAGUAACGGAGGAGCACGAAGGUUGGCUAAUCCUGGUCGGACAUCAGGAGGUUAGUGCAAUGGCAUAAGCCAGCUUGACUGCGAGCGUGACGGCGCGAGCAGGUGCGAAAGCAGGUCAUAGUGAUCCGGUGGUUCUGAAUGGAAGGGCCAUCGCUCAACGGAUAAAAGGUACUCCGGGGAUAACAGGCUGAUACCGCCCAAGAGUUCAUAUCGACGGCGGUGUUUGGCACCUCGAUGUCGGCUCAUCACAUCCUGGGGCUGAAGUAGGUCCCAAGGGUAUGGCUGUUCGCCAUUUAAAGUGGUACGCGAGCUGGGUUUAGAACGUCGUGAGACAGUUCGGUCCCUAUCUGCCGUGGGCGCUGGAGAACUGAGGGGGGCUGCUCCUAGUACGAGAGGACCGGAGUGGACGCAUCACUGGUGUUCGGGUUGUCAUGCCAAUGGCACUGCCCGGUAGCUAAAUGCGGAAGAGAUAAGUGCUGAAAGCAUCUAAGCACGAAACUUGCCCCGAGAUGAGUUCUCCCUGAGACUUAAAGUCUCCUGAAGGAACGUUGAAGACGACGACGUUGAUAGGCCGGGUGUGUAAGCGCAGCGAUGCGUUGAGCUAACCGGUACUAAUGAACCGUGAGGCUUAACCUUACAACGCCGAAG
rnacentral:rRNA from 1 species